CUACUGGUUAUUGCUAAUGGAUUUCACAUAGUGGUAACCACAAUUGGUCACCAUAUAGAAGGGGGUGUUUGAACACUCUCAACAUGGAGCAGAUAGACAACAAGGGAGAGGAAGAAAUCAAAGAGCUCAUGGACACGGGGCCCCUCAGAGAGGUGGGCAUGGACCCCAACAAAGAGGUGGGCAUGGGCCCCGACAAAGAGGUGGGCAUGGACCCCGACAAAGAGGUGGGCAUGGGCCCCGACAAAGAGGUGGGCAUGGACCCUAACAAAGAGGUGGGCAUGGACCCUAACAAAGAGGUGGGCAUGGACCCUAACAAAGAGGUGGGCAUGGACCCCGACAAAGAGGUGGGCAUGGACCCCGACAAAGAGGUGGGCAUGGACCCUGACAAAGAGGUGGGCAUGGACCCUGACAAAGAGGUGGGCAUGGACCCUGACAAAGAGGUGGGCAUGGGCCCCGACAAAGAGGUGGGCAUGGGCCCCGUUAGAGGUUUACAUCAGAGAGAGGGAGGCAGACGGCAGGGAACUGUUGUGUCUAAUGAAGUCCGGGCCAUCAUCGGUGACCAUGUGGUUAACAGAGGCCUUACCAUGGCAGAGGAUGAUUAGUUAGGUUAGUUCAACACAAUCUGAAAAGAUCAACUGUCAAUUCGCCAAGAAAACCAGUAAGUCUGCAGGAUAUGGACUAUGCUUUACCAUUACAUCUACAGUAAAUUACAUUUUGUAAUGCAUGUCAAUUCACAAAACAUGUUACACUAUUCUUACAGUAUGAUCUAUUGACAGUAUACUGUGUUCUACCCUCAGAAGACCCCAUGGUGGUGGCCGUGUGCUGACCGAUCAGCAGGAGUGGGGAGUGGUGGAAAUGGUGAGGGCCAGGAAUGACAUACGUCUGUCUGAAAUAAAGCAGGCCAUUGAGGAGAACAAUGACACCUUUGCCAAUGUGGCAUCCAUCAGCCUGCCAACAAUCGCCCAACUUUUGAAGAGGCAUCCAGGUAUCUAUGAAACACAUUUACCUGGUGCCUUUUGAGUGAAACAACGACUGGGUGAAACAAUUGCAGGCUGAGUAUGUUCAGUUACAGCACUACUGUAUAUACUGUAUUACUAUUACUAUUAAUGCACAUGCUACUUCACAAUAUCAUAUUGGAACUAUACUGCAAAAAUAACUAACCAAAAUAUAUUUUUAGAGGGUGAUGGUGCUUGAUGUUGCUGUGAACCAUCACAAGUAUAUCUUCGUUGAUGAAACAGGCUUCAAUCAGGCCAAAACUCGGCACCAUGGGUAGAACCUCACCGGCCAACGGGCGACCGUCCAAGCGCCUGGACAACGGGGGGAAACAUCUUCAUGUGCACAGUUAUCUCUGAAUAGUAUGGUAUGGUAGGAUAUAGGCCUACCAUCAUGGUGUGGUAGGAGGUAGACCUACCAUCAUGGUGUGGUAGGAGGUAGACCUACCAUCAUGGUGUGGUAGGAGGUAGGCCUACCAUCAUGGUGUGGUAGGAGGUAGACCUACCAUCAUGGUGUGGUAGGACGAAGGCCUACCAUCAUGGUGUGGUAGGACAUAGACCUACCAUCUUGGUGUGGUAGGAGGUAGGCCUACCAUCAUGGUGUGGUAGGAGGUAGACCUACCAUCAUGGUGUGGUAGGAUGAAUUGCAGGCCGAAUAUGGAAACCAUGUGUUUGAUGUAUUUGAUACCAUUCCACUCAUUCUGUUCCAGCCAUUACCACGAGCCCAUCCUCCCCAAUGAAGGUGCCACCAACCUCCUGCGAUGCAGACAAAUGUCAAGCUUGGAUUCACCAUGCCAUGUUUUAUUUUCAUUCAUUUCAUUUCUCACAUUUGAUUAGACAGUAUGUUGCAAUUAUAUCUGAAAAUUCAUUGUUUUUAUUUGCAUGAAUGAUUGUAGAGGACGUUUUCAUGGAAUACAUGUUGGAUAGAUAUGAUAGAUUUUCUGUAAAUUUUUUGGGGUAAUGUAAGUGUAUUGCCUAAUGUGAAAACUGUAAUCUGCUAUUCACAGGACUGUGUUCCUUUCAGCACCUCUAAGGGGGAUUUGAAACGCGUAUCUUGCAUUGUUUGCUAUUGGAUUAACUGGGAGUUAAAAAUAAUCAAUUGUAAAGACAUCAUUAUGUUGUGUUCUGGUGAAUAAACCAAUGUCACAUUACAUUUCACAAUAAACUUUGAUUUUAAAU
rnacentral:lncRNA from 1 species